UACGUAGGGGGCAAGCGUUAUCCGGAUUUACUGGGUGUAAAGGGAGCGUAGACGGCCAGACAAGUCUGAAGUGAAAAUCCAGCGCUUAACGUUGGAAGUGCUUUGGAAACUGCCGGGCUAGAGUGCAGGAGGGGCAGGCGGAAUUCCUAGUGUAGCGGUGAAAUGCGUAGAUAUUAGGAGGAACACCAGUGGCGAAGGCGGCCUACUGGACGGUGACUGACGCUGAGGCUCGAAAGCGUGGGGAGCAAACAGG
rnacentral:rRNA from 1 species